rnacentral:lncRNA from 1 species
CGCACUCCAGCUUCAGGCUUUCUGUUCUCUCUAUAGCUUAAUGGCUCACAGACCUUUUCUGAGACAGCCAGAUGAAUCUGUGAACACAGCCCAAGACAAGUGGCGAUUACCUUGUUAUGGUGAUUCAGCACCAACCCUAUGCUUCCACAAUUCUGAAAGUGAACAACGGCAAAAGAAGUCAUGUAACAUCUAACAAAAAAAAAUACCAACAAAAACUCCAUUAAGAUUGGAUUAAGGUGCAUUCGAGUAUUGGCAUGUUUUCCUAAAUUUUAUGGCAUCAAAAUGUUCAGGAAAGUUGGAGUUCUAGACCUAAAAUUGUAGCAAUGGUUUCCUCAACUGCAGAAGGAGACACUUCUUCCAGACAGCCCA